rnacentral:rRNA from 1 species
ACACCUCAAGUCAGGU